rnacentral:rRNA from 1 species
UACAGAGGGGGCCAGCGUUAUUCGGAAUUAUUGGGCGUAAAGGGCGCGUAGGCGGCUUUGCGUGUCUUUCGUGAAAUCCCUCGGCUCAACUGAGGACGUGCGGAAGAAACUGCAGGGCUGGAGUCCGGGAGAGGAGGGUGGAAUUCCCAGUGUAGCGGUGAAAUGCGUAGAUAUCGAGAGGAACACCGGUGGCGAAGGCGGCCUUCUGGACGACGACUGACGCUGAGACGCGAAAGCGUGGGGAGCAAACAGG